GAUAAACGCUGGCGGCGUGCAUGAGACAUGCAAGUCGAACGAAGGAUCGGGCUUGCUCGAUCCUUAGUGGCGGACGGCUGAGUAACGCGUAGGUGACCUACCCCGAAGUGGGGAAUAACUGCCCGAAAGGGUGGCUAAUACCGCAUGUGGUCGCACGUUCAUUCGUGCGAGUAAAGCCGCAAGGCGCUUCGGGAGGGGCCUGCGUCCGAUUAGCUCGUUGGUGGGGUAAUGGCCUACCAAGGCGACGAUCGGUAGGUGGUCUGAGAGGACGAUCACCCAGACUGGGACUGAGACACGGCCCAGACUCCUACGGGAGGCAGCAGUCGGGAAUUUUGCUCAAUGGGGGAAACCCUGAAGCAGCAACGCCGCGUGAGGGAUGAAUGCCUUCGGGUUGUAAACCUCUUUUGUCAGGGACGAUGAUGACGGUACCUGGCGAAUAAGCCACGGCUAACUACGUGCCAGCCGCCGCCGUAACAC
rnacentral:rRNA from 1 species